rnacentral:rRNA from 1 species
UACGGAGGGUGCAAGCGUUAUCCGGAUUCACUGGGUUUAAAGGGUGCGUAGGCGGGCAGGUAAGUCCGUGGUGAAAUCUCUGAGCUUAACUCAGAAACUGCCAUGGAUACUAUUUGUCUUGAAUAUUGUGGAGGUAAGCGGAAUAUGUCAUGUAGCGGUGAAAUGCUUAGAUAUGACAUUAGAACACCAAUUGCGAAGGCAGCUUGCUACACAGUUAUUGACGCUGAGGCACGAAAGCGUGGGGAUCAAACAGG